UCUCCGUAGGUGAACCUGCGGAGGGAUCAUUACAGAGUUCUCGCCCUCGCGGGUAGAUCUCCCACCCACUGUUAUCGUUACUGUGUUGCUUUGGCGGGCCGCCGGGCCCCGCUCGGCCGCCGGCUCCGGCUGGCGCGCGCCCGCCAGAGGCCCAGCAAACUCUGAAUGUUAGUGUCGUCUGAGUACUAUAUAAUAGUUAAAACUUUCAACAACGGAUCUCUUGGUUCUA
rnacentral:misc_RNA from 1 species